UGAGUAACACGUAUCCAACCUGCCGUCUACUCUUGGCCAGCCUUCUGAAAGGAAGAUUAAUCCAGGAUGGCAUCAUGAGUUCACAUGUCCGCAUGAUUAAAGGUAUUUUCCGGUAGACGAUGGGGAUGCGUUCCAUUAGAUAGUAGGCGGGGUAACGGCCCACCUAGUCAACGAUGGAUAGGGGUUCUGAGAGGAAGGUCCCCCACAUUGGAACUGAGACACGGUUCAA
rnacentral:rRNA from 1 species